rnacentral:rRNA from 1 species
AUUGAACGCUGGCGGCAGGCCUAACACAUGCAAGUCGAGCGGAGCGGCGGACGGGUGAGUAAUGUAUCGGAACGUGCCCAGUAGCGGGGGAUAACUACGCGAAAGCGUAGCUAAUACCGCAUACUCUUGGAGCGGUCGAUAUCGGCUUAGCUAGUUGGUGGGGUAACGGCUCACCAAGGCGACGAUCAGUAGCUGGUUUGAGAGGACGACCAGCCAAACUGGGACUGAGAAACGGCCCAGCAUCCUACGGUAGGCAGCAGUGGGGAAUUUUGGACAAUGGGGGAAACCCUGAUCCAGCCAUCCCGCGUGUGCGAUGAAGGCCUUCGGGUUGUAAAGCACUUUUGGCAGGAAAGCGGUACCUGCAGAAUAAGCACCGGCUAACUACGUGCCAGCAGCCGCGGUAAUAC